rnacentral:rRNA from 1 species
AGUGAACGCUGGCGGUAGGCCUAACACAUGCAAGUCGAACGGCAGCACAGUAAGAGCUUGCUCUUACGGGUGGCGAGUGGCGGACGGGUGAGGAAUACAUCGGAAUCUACUUUUUCGUGGGGGAUAACGUAGGGAAACUUACGCUAAUACCGCAUACGACCUACGGGUGAAAGCAGGGGAUCUUCGGACCUUGCGCGAUUGAAUGAGCCGAUGUCGGAUUAGCUAGUUGGCGGGGUAAAGGCCCACCAAGGCGACGAUCCGUAGCUGGUCUGAGAGGAUGAUCGGCCACACUGGAACUGAGACACGGUCCAGACUCCUACGGGAGGCAGCAGUGGGGAAUAUUGGACAAUGGGCGCAAGCCUGAUCCAGCCAUACCGCGUGGGUGAAGAAGGCCUUCGGGUUGUAAAGCCCUUUUGUUGGGAAAGUAAAGCAGCAGGUUAAUACCCCGCUGUUCUGACGGUACCCAAAGAAUAAGCACCGGCUAACUUCGUG